rnacentral:rRNA from 1 species
AACGAACGCUGGCGGCAUGCCUAACACAUGCAAGUCGAACGAAACCUUCGGGUCUAGUGGCGCACGGCGGCGUAACGCGGGGGAACCUGCCCUUGGGUUCGGAAUAACUCCCCGAAAGGGGUGCUAAUACCGGAUAGUGUCUUCGGACCAAAGAUUUAUCGCCUUUGGAUGGGCCCGCGUUGGAUUCGCUAGUUGGUAGGGGAAAAGCCUACCAAGGGGACGAUCCAUAGCUGGUCUGAGAGGAUGAUCAGCCACACUGGGAAUGAGACACGGCCCAGACUCCUACGGGAGGGAGCAGUGGGGAAUAUUGGACAAUGGGCGAAAGCCUGAUCCAGCAAUGCCGCGUGAGUGAUGAAGGCCUUAGGGUUGUAAAGCUCUUUUACCCGGGAUGAUAAUGACAGUACCGGGAGAAUAAGCUCCGGCUAACUCCGUG